UUCUCUGUCAGAUUGUUGCUCCCUCUUUGGUAGUAAAGUUCAGCUCUUCAUGCUCUGUGAUUGUUUCUGUGAGAAUCUGUUUUUCUGUGGACUUACCUGAUUUUCCUCUCUGCAAAUGCCUCCUGCCAUGGCCGACCUGUGAUGAGAGAUCCAUGCUGGAAAAGGAAACCUGUGGAGAAAAAUCUGUAGGAAAAGCAAACUGUGGAGAGACACACCCUAGAAGUAUUUUUUUUUUUUUUUUUUUUUCAGAAAUGAACUUUGUUUAUUCAUCUGCCUGCCAGAAAAAAGACAUUAUUCCUGGUGUUCUGUGUUUGAGUCCAGUUCAGUUUUUGCCUGAAACAUCUGUCUAUAAACAUGGAUUCAACAGACAUAAAUUCAAUUAAGAAACACUCAUCAGCCAGGUUAGUGCUCCUCGGAAAACACAAAGUUCCCCAGCACCUCUCCAAACAGCAGCAAGUAAACCUGCAGGAGACGGCUUAUGUGGGAGGAUAAGAGCACUUGGAUGAGCACAGGCUGUGCCAAGUGGUGGAAAGGAUCUGACUUGUUCUGAAUUCAUAAACAAGUUCAAGAGUGACUAGUACUGACGCAGCGGCUGACAGACUGUUCAACUUAUGGCAGAGAAGAAGUGUCUCUUUUCUAUGAAUUUUUGGAUUUUAUCCAAGGAGGCUGAAUGGAAGACAAGGUUCUACAGGGAGCAUGCCUAUAUGACUUGAGUGAUUAUAUAAAUGAUGAUUUGGCUGUUAAAGAUCUAUCCUCUUGCCCUGGUUUCUUUUUUUUUUUUUUUUUCUUUUUUUUUGUGCAUAAGGAUAAAUGACCAUGUUCAAGAAGUUAGUUAUUUGGUUGGAUAGACAAAGUCCAGCAGUAAGGGUGGGGUUACUGGCAGACAAAGCUUCAGCUUAACAACUCCUACCCAGAUUGAUUCCUGCAAAAAUUUGUUGUUAAAUCAAUUCAAGCAAUACUUAAUGAUACUUUCCUGGCUAACAUCACACAUUGUACUACUAAUCCUUUAAGGAAACCAUUGUGACCAUAUUGGUGUCAAAAAUUUUGACAUUUUUCAUGUACUGGGCCACACCUGUUUAAAAGACCAUAAAU